rnacentral:rRNA from 1 species
CGCGAUUGGAUGAACCUAGGUGGGAUUAGCUAGUUGGUGAGGUAAUGGCUCACCAAGGCGACGAUCCCUAGCUGUUCUGGGAGGAUGAUCAGCCACACUGGGACUGAGACACGGCCCAGACUCCUACGGGAGGCAGCAGUGGGGAAUAUUGCACAAUGGGGGAAACCCUGAUGCAGCCAUGCCGCGUGUGUGAAGAAGGCCUUCGGGUUGUAAAGCACUUUCAGUAGGGAGGAAAGGGUGAGUCUUAAUACGGCUCAUCUGUGACGUUACCUACAGAAGAAGGACCGGCUAACUCCGUGCCAGCAGCCGCGGUAAUACGGAGGGUCCGAGCGUUAAUCGGAAUUACUGGGCGUAAAGCGUGCGCAGGCGGUUUGUUAAGCGAGAUGUGAAAGCCCUGGGCUCAACCUAGGAAUAGCAUUUCGAACUGGCGAACUAGAGUCUUGUAGAGGGGGGUAGAAUUCCAGGUGUAGCGGUGAAAUGCGUAGAGAUCUGGAGGAAUACCGGUGGCGAAGGCGGCCCCCUGGACAAAGACUGACGCUCAUGCACGAAAGCGUGGGGAGCAAACAGGAUUAGAUACCCCGGUAGUCCACGCCGUAACGAUGUCUACUCGGAAUUUGGUGCCUU